rnacentral:rRNA from 1 species
AACGAACGCUGGCGGCAUGCCUAACACAUGCAAGUCGAACGAGACCUUCGGGUCUAGUGGCGCAUGGGUGCGUAACGCGUGGGAACCUGCCCUUAGGUUCGGAAUAACUCCCCGAAAGGGGUGCUAAUACCGGAUAAUGUCUUCGGACCAAAGAUUUAUCGCCUUUGGAUGGGCCCGCGUUGGAUUAGCUAGUUGGUAGGGUAAAAGCCUACCAAGGCUACGAUCCAUAGCUGGUCUGAGAGGAUGAUCAGCCACACUGGGACUGAGACACGGCCCAGACUCCUACGGGAGGCAGCAGUGGGGAAUAUUGGACAAUGGGCGAAAGCCUGAUCCAGCAAUGCCGCGUGAGUGAUGAAGGCCUUAGGGUUGUAAAGCUCUUUUACCCGGGAUGAUAAUGACAGUACCGGGAGAAUAAGCUCCGGCUAACUCCGUG